GGUUGAUCCUGCCAGUAGUCAUAUGCUUGUCUCAAAGAUUAAGCCAUGCAUGUCUAAGUAUAAGCUGUUAUACUGUGAAACUGCGAAUGGCUCAUUAAAUCAGUUAUAGUUUAUUUGAUGGUACCUACUACUCGGUAUAACCGUAGUAAUUCUAGAGCUAAUACGUGCAGCAAGUCCCGACUCUUGGAAGGGAUGUAUUUAUUAGAUAAAAAACCGAUACAGCUUCGGCUGGUCACGCGGUGAAUCAUGAUAACUCCUCGAAUCGCAUGGCCUCGUGCCGGCGAUGUUUCAUU
rnacentral:rRNA from 1 species